rnacentral:misc_RNA from 1 species
CUUUUAACUGAAAUUUAAUAAUUUAACAGGCUCCAUAACUUUGGUCCAACGAAUCUGGCAACUAUGAUGCCAACAGUAUAGAAGGACAAAGACAAUCAUGUAUUGAUAUUUUCUAGAAAUAACAAUCAAAGUCAUUUUGCAGUCUUCCAAAUAAAUGGCAAUGCUACUUCAUGGUUCCAUUGCUUGCCCUAGUUCCUUGCGACAUAAUGGAUUGUUAUGGAGCAUAGUUGGAAAAAAUGAAAAAAAGAACAACGAUGCUUACAAGAACAUUCAAAGCUUCUCCAAGAAGAAAAUGGGAAAGUAUUAGUUGUCACAUGUAAAUAAGGCAAGAAUUUUUAAAUUUCAUAUAAUAGGAAGAUUAUGACUAGGAUUUAGCAUAAAAAAUUCACAAAUUAGAAAAGCAAGCUAAUACCUAAUACUUAACAUGGAAUUUGGUCAUUCUAAAUGUGAUAACAAAUGAGAAAGGUUAAAAGCAUGGUUGUCAAAGGCUUGCCAAAGGUCCAGCUCACUUGAGCUAGAGGUCACUCACCUCUAAUGGGCUCAAGCUAGGCUCCAUCCCUUAAAGACUAAGAUAAGAUAGCCCAACUUCUCACACAAUUAUUGAAGGAUGUUAAGAUUUUAGAAUAAGAAUAAGAAGAAGAAAGAAAGGGAAGAGAAG